rnacentral:rRNA from 1 species
AUGAACGCUGGCGGCGUGCCUAAUACAUGCAAGUCGAGCGAACAGACGAGGAGCUUGCUCCUCUGACGUUAGCGGCGGACGGGUGAGUAACACGUGGAUAACCUACCUAUAAGACUGGGAUAACUUCGGGAAACCGGAGCUAAUACCGGAUAAUAUAUUGAACCGCAUGGUUCAAUAGUGAAAGACGGUUUUGCUGUCACUUAUAGAUGGAUCCGCGCCGCAUUAGCUAGUUGGUAAGGUAACGGCUUACCAAGGCGACGAUGCGUAGCCGACCUGAGAGGGUGAUCGGCCACACUGGAACUGAGACACGGUCCAGACUGCUACGGGAGGCAGCAGUAGGGAAUCUUCCGCAAUGGGCGAAAGCUUGACGGAGCAACGCCGCGUGAGUGAUGAAGGUCUUCGGAUCGUAAAACUCUGUUAUUAGGGAAGAACAAAUGUGUAAGUAACUAUGCACGUCUUGACGGUACCUAAUCAGAAAGCCACGGCUAACUACGUG